UGCCAUAGAUGGCACGCACUACGUAGACGUAGUAAACAAAAAGGAUUUGCAUGGACCCUGUGCAAGGAUGAUACGCGAAAUCGUGAAGCGUUCCAUAUUUUU